rnacentral:rRNA from 1 species
CCUACGGGAGGCAGCAGUGAGGAAUAUUGGUCAAUGGACGAGAGUCUGAACCAGCCAAGUAGCGUGAAGGAUGACUGCCCUAUGGGUUGUAAACUUCUUUUAUAAAGGAAUAAAACGAGGCACGUGUGCCUUUUUGCAUGUACUUUAUGAAUAAGGAUCGGCUAACUCCGUGCCAGCAGCCGCGGUAAUACGGAGGAUACGAGCGUUAUCCGGAUUUAUUGGGUUUAAAGGGAGCGUAGAUGGGGUGUUAAGUCAGGUGUGAAAGUUUGCGGCUCAACCGUAAAAUUGCAAUUGAUACUGGCAGUCUUGAGUACAGUUGAGGUAGGCGGAAUUCGUGGUGUAGCAGUGAAAUGCUUAGAUAUCACGAAGAACCCCGAUUGCGAAGGCAGCUUACUAAACUGUGACUGACAUUGAUGCUAGAAAGUGUGGGUAUCAAACAGGAUUAGAUACCCCAGUAGUC